ensembl:lncRNA
CAUCCAUUGAGCAGCACAUUGAGAGUGAAGGAGAGAGUCUGCAGUGGCUGGUAGAGAAAUGUGGGAACAGAUAUCAUGUCCUCAACAAUGAGAAGAGAGAAGAUCACAUGCAGGUUACACAGCUGAUGGAGAAGAUAGAAGAGGUGGUGGCAGGAAACAGAGGACACCAUUAUGAGAUGGAGAGACAGAGAAGAGAAAUAUUGGAGGAGAAGAGGAGGAGAGAUGAAGAGAGAGUGAAAGAGAGGAUGAUGAAGGUGAAGAUAGAGAGAGAGUCUCUCAGAUCACUGAUGGGUGAUUCUCUUCAUCUGUCAGAGUUGAGGAUUGUGCUGCUGGGAUACAGAAGAGCUGGGAAGAGUUCAUCAGGAAACACCAUCCUGGGCAGAGAGGAGUUUGAUACUGUAGGGAGAACAGCUCAGUGUAUGAAGAG